GGAACGAACGCUGGCGGCAGGCUUAACACAUGCAAGUCGAACGGUUGUAGCAAUACAGCAGUGGCAGACGGGUGAGUAACACGUGGGAACCUUCCUAGGGGUACGGAACAACUCAGGGAAACUUGAGCUAAUACCGUAUACGUCCGUGAGGAGAAAGUUUUAACGCCCCUAGACGGGCCCGCGUAGGAUUAGGUAGUUGGUGAGGUAACGGCUCACCAAGCCUACGAUCCUUAGCUGAUCUGAGAGGAUGAUCAGCCACACUGGGACUGAGACACGGCCCAGACUCCUACGGGAGGCAGCAGUGGGGAAUCUUGGACAAUGGGCGCAAGCCUGAUCCAGCCAUGCCGCGUGAGUGAAGAAGGCCUUCGGGUUGUAAAGCUCUUUUACCAGGGACGAUAAUGACGGUACCUGGAGAAUAAGCCCGGCAAACUUCGUGCCAGCAGCCGC
rnacentral:rRNA from 1 species